AAGAAAACUCAUUGUAAAACGCUCUUGCCUUCCUUAAUAUAUAGCUUAUGGAACAUUUCAUGUACCAAAACAAGCUUAUUUGAGCAACUUCACGUUUCAAAUCUCCGUAUUCUGUUGUGAUUACCGACUUACCGUCUUUGCGGUUGAGGUUGUACAGCUCCCCGUGUUCUUGUUGGCUCGUCUCCUCUUCUUUAACUGUCUGGUCUUCCAUAAACAAUAGUGCAUUAGGUAGAGGGUCUGAUUUUUUAAGGUCAUUAUGAUAGAUUUCCGUACGCGUUUUUCCAGGAAAAGCAUUGUUGAACAUGUUUUCGCUUAUGGAUUUUGAUGGCCGGGGCUUGUUUUCGUUGCGUUUACGAGGUUUCCGGGUCGAAAUUGAGAUUUUGGAGCGGUGGACUUGAGCGAGG
rnacentral:lncRNA from 1 species